UGCAGUCGAGCGAUCUGAGGGAGCUUGCUCCCAAAGAUUAGCGGCGGACGGGUGAGUAACACGUGGGCAACCUGCCUGUAAGACUGGGAUAACUUCGGGAAACCGGAGCUAAUACCGGAUAAUCCCUUUCCUCACAUGAGGAAAGGCUGAAAGACGGCGUCUAGCUGUCACUUACAGAUGGGCCCGCGGCGCAUUAGCUAGUUGGUGAGGUAACGGCUCACCAAGGCCACGAUGCGUAGCCAACCUGAGAGGGUGAUCGGCCACACUGGGACUGAGACACGGCCCAAACUCCUACGGGAGGCAGCAGUAGGGAAUCUUCCGCAAUGGACGAAAGUCUGACGGAGCAACGCCGCGUGAGUGAUGAAGGUUUUCGGAUCGUAAAACUCUGUUGUUAGGGAAGAACAAGUAUCGGAGUAACUGCCGGUACCUUGACGGUACCUAACCAGAAAGCCACGGCUAACUACGUGCCAGCAGCCGCGGUAAUACGUAGGUGGCAAGCGUUGUCCGGAAUUAUUGGGCGUAAAGCGCGCGCAGGUGGUUCCUUAAGUCUGAUGUGAAAGCCCACGGCUCAACCGUGGAGGGUCAUUGGAAACUGGGGAA
rnacentral:rRNA from 1 species